rnacentral:rRNA from 1 species
AGCAGCCGCGGUAAUUCCAGCUCCAAUAGCGUAUAUUAAAGUUGUUGCAGUUAAAAAGCUCGUAGUUGAAUUUCGGGGUCAGUAGAUUGGUCAUGCCACUGGUAUGUACUGGUCUUACUGGCUCCUCCUUCCUGAUGAACCGUAAUGCCAUUAAUUUGGUGUUGCGGGGAGACUGGACUGUUACUUUGAAAAAAUUAGAGUGUUUAAAGCAGGCUAACGCUUGAAUACAUUAGCAUGGAAUAAUGAAAUAGGACGUUCGAUCUUAUUUUGUUGGUUUCUAAGAUUGACGUAAUGAUUAAUAGGGAUAGUUGGGGGCAUUAGUAUUCAAUUGUCAGAGGUGAAAUUCUUGGAUUUAUUGAAGACUAACUACUGCGAAAGCAUUUGCCAAGGAUGUUUUCAUUAAUCUAAGAACGAAAGUUAGGGGAUCGAAGACGAUCAGAUACCGUCGUA